rnacentral:rRNA from 1 species
AUGGUGGAGUCGCAAAACAAGCAAGUUGUGAUCGAUGUCAAGUCCUUUUUCGCCGACUACUUAAAAAUGGUCAAGGUGCCGUUUGGCCAGGAUCGAAACCGAGUGAUCACAGCUCUCAACAUGUUCAAAGAUCAAGGCGUGAUCGCUAGUAUUUCCGAUGGCCCAAACACAAGGGUGCACAUAUCUGGGUACCAGUGCUCACAAAUGACAAGCCUUGAGGUGUUUCGUGAGCUUGAGUCUGGCACGCCGCUCCUCGGCACUUUUCCAGUUCAGAAAGGCCUUCAUACCCUCGGGGCUAAAAUCUUCGAGGUAAACCCUUACGAACCUGCACCUGCAGGGAACCACAUUGUGAUGUUCGUUGGCUACGGUGAGAGGAAGGGACGCCCAUAUCUUGUGUUUCUCAACUCCUAUGGCCUCGAUUGGGGAACACGGGGACUAGGCCGUGUUUACUUUGAUCAGGUGUAUCAGCUGGACUAUGAUAAAGGGUUUCAAUUCAUCACGGUGUCGGUGACAGUGGACAAUGGGCUUGCUGUUGCCGUGCCUCCGUCGCCUGAUCACAAGCCACUUCCGCUCAUCGAAAUGUAA